UAAUUUUACAGGUCUUAAAAUGGUCUUAAAGAGGUCUUACAUUUUAGCUUAAAAAUCAUGCAGAAACCCUGUCUAUAGCUAUAUAGUUUACACACUAUAGUUGGAUUAUUGCAACAUUUUUUUUAAUCUAAAAACUUUGUUAGUGCAUUUAAUUUCUUGCGGUGUUACUUUUUCUUAUCACAUUUUCAUCAGCCGUAUGUUUUAUAAAAAAACAUUUUAAUUAUCACCAUCGUGCA